AGAAAAUCCAAAAAUAAUCAGAACCACCCUUAUAGUAUCCAACUCACAUGCACCAGAGCCUAUGCAACCUGCUAAUUUAAAGACUGAAAAAGAGAGAGUAGACACCACUAAUAGAAAUAUCUUCUCUCUGGAAGGAACACCACGAUACACAGAAGAGAAGGAGAGAACAGGGAAAUCACAUUAGUGUGAUACUGUAUAACAC